UAUGAAGAACGCAGCGAAAUGCGAUAAGUAAUGUGAAUUGCAGAAUUCAGUGAAUCAUCGAAUCUUUGAACGCACAUUGCGCCCGCCAGUAUUCUGGCGGGCAUGCCUGUUCGAGCGUCAUUUCAACCAUCAAGCCCCCGGCUUGUGUUGGGGACCUGCGGCUGCCGCAGGCCCUGAAAUGCAGUGGCGGGCUCGCUGUCACUCCGAGCGUAGUAGUUACAUCUCGCUCUGGGCGUGCUGCGGGUUCCGGCCGUUAAAAGCCUUAUUUACCCAAGGUUGACCUCGGAUCAGGUAGGAAGACCCGCUGAACUUAAGCAUAUCAAUAAGCGGAGGA
rnacentral:misc_RNA from 1 species